GUCAUCAUCAUCAUCAUCAUCGGUGUCAUCGUCAUCAGUGAUGUCACUGACGGCAUCAUCAUUACUGGUGUCAUCGAUGUCAUCGUAUCAUCACCAUCGUCAUUGUCAUUGGUGUCAUCAUCAUCAUCAUCAUCACUGUCAUUGUCAGUCAUUGUCACCCUCACCAUCGUUGGUCAUGGUCACCAUCGUUCAUCAUCAUCAUCCUCACCAUCAUUGGUCAUUGUCACUGUCACCACUGUCAGUCAUGGUCAUCGUUGGUCAUGGUCAUCAUCAUCCAUGGCUGGUCAUGGUCAUCAUCAUCCUCAGCAUCGUUGGUCAUUGUCACUGUCACCACUGUCAGUCUUUGUCAUCGUUGGUCAUCAUCAUCCUCAUCCUCAUUGGUCAUUGUCACUGUCACCAUCAUCGGUCAUUGCUGGUCUUCAUCAUCCUCAUCCUCACCAUCGCUGGUCAUCAUCGUCAUCCUCACCAUGGUUGGUCAUCAUCCUCAUCCUCACCAUGGUUGGUCAUCAUCCUCAUCCUCACCAUGGUUGCCCAUCGUUGGUCAUCGUCACCGUGGCCAUCGUUGCCCAUCCUCACUGUCACCGUCGCCGUCACCACCGCGGCCGCCGCCCUCCCAGAGCCGGGAACGCCGGGAGCGCCAGGAGCCGGCUCCGGCCGCCCCGACAUUCCCAAAAAUCCGCGGGAAUUCCCGGUUUUCCCUCCCGCCCCCGUCCCGGGGCCGAGCGCGAGGAGGACCCGGAAUAACGGAGGAGUCGCGGGAUCGGGAUCUGGAGUUUGUGGUGGGGAAC
rnacentral:lncRNA from 1 species